rnacentral:rRNA from 1 species
UACGUAGGGUGCAAGCGUUAUCCGGAAUGAUUGGGCGUAAAGCGUCUGUAGGUGGCUUUUUAAGUCCGCCGUCAAAUCCCAGGGCUCAACCCUGGACAGGCGGUGGAAACUACCAAGCUGGAGUACGGUAGGGGCAGAGGGAAUUUCCGGUGGAGCGGUGAAAUGCGCAGAUAUCAGGAGGAACACCGAUGGCGAAGGCAGGUCUCUGGGCCAUAACUGACGUGAGAAGCGAAAGCAUGGGGAGCGAACAGG